rnacentral:lncRNA from 1 species
CUUGAAACUAAGGCAUCUCAUACUAUAAUCGGAGUUGAAAUGGAUAUUCCAUCAAAUGACAAUGAUGCAGCGCCAACAAAAAAAGAAUUCCAAAGAGAAACAGAAAUUGAGGGACUGAAAUACCUAGUGCAUAGAUCUGAUGAACAAAACUAUGAAUCUGAAGUCAAUUCAAAGAAUUAUGCAGUGAGCAAUGCUCCCUUAUCAGACAUAGAUUAUUUUAAAGAUGCCAAGAAAGACUCUUCAUCCAAUUUAAACAUGUUGAACAUACUUUUCCCUCAUACCAACAUACUAGAGGAUAGUUCGGGAGUGAGACUAAAUGGAGAAAGUAUGUCCAAGGAUAUAAUUUCCCUUACUUCAGGUACUACUAAUAUGCUUAAUAUGUUAUCAACUUUUUUUGUGUAUGUUGCAAUAUGAGUGGUUUCAAUUUCAGUAUUCAAUAUGUUUGUGUGUUACAUAACUGAGGACUUUUAUAAAACAGUCACUUCAGUUAACACUUUUGUUAAUAGUUCUUGUUUCUAAGGAACACUAUAGUGUCAGGAAUACAAACAUGUAUUCCUAAUCCUACAGUGUUAACCCCUUAAGACCGGAGGGCGUACUAGUACGCCCUAUUUUAGGCGGCUCUAAACGCCGCCGGGCGUAAUAGUACGUCCUCAGGUCUUUCUUUACUUACCCGGUCGCCGGCGAUCGCGGUUGGGGGGACUCCCAGGAAGCCCCCCCCGUGGCACGUCCAACCCCCUGGCAGCCCACAUGGCCGGGAUAGCUGCCUGCUGUAUUGCCAGCAGGGGGGCUGCCUGUAAUGACAGGUGGUCCCCCGCUGGCUGGAAAUAAAAUAAAAUUGAAAAAAGUUAAAAAGUGUAAAAGAAAAAAUUAUUUAUAUAUAUAUAUAUAUAUACACACACACACACACAUAUAUAUAUAUAUAUAUAUAUAUAUAUAUAUAUAUAUAUACACACAUACAUACACUGUCUAGGUGUAUUUUACAUAUAUAUAUAUAUAUAUAUAUAUAUAUAUAUAUUAUUACACGUAGACUGAUAUUGAUUAAAUAUAUACAAUUAUUGUUAUAUAUUUAUUAUUAAAAAAAAAUAUGUAAAUACGUUAAAAAAUAAAUAAUUAAAAAAUAUAUAGAUGUGUGCUAUUUCGUUCUAACUGUAUUGUGAUAUUAAUAUAUAUUUAUAUCAAAAUACACGUAGAACUAAAUAAUAUAUAUAUACGUAUAUAUCACUAUAUAUACCUAUAUAUAAAUAAAAAAAAUUAUAUACACACACACAUACAUUAAUUCUACAUAUAUAUUUAUGUAAUAUUUUUACAUAAUUAGGUAUCUUAAUUAAUUACAAUUAGCGGGACCUGUCUGACAACCCAUGCCGAAAGUAAAGGGAAUUUAAUUUGCUAGCACUAUAUUUAACCCUAUAACUUUCCAAGACACCAUAAAACCUGUACAUUGGGGGUACUGUUCUACUUGGGAGACUUCGCUGAAUACAAAUAUUAGUGUUUCAAAACUGUAAAAUGUAUUACAAUGAUGAUAUCGCCAGUAAAAGUGAUGUUUUUUGCAUUUUUCACGCACAAAAAGCACUUACACGGACAAUAUUAUUGCUGCGAUACUUUUUACUGUUUUGAAACACAAAUAUUUGUGUUCAGCGAAGUCUCCCGAGUACAACAGGUACAGGUUUUAUGGUGUUUUCAAAAGUUACAGCGUCAAAUAUAAGGCUUGUGUUUCAUUUUUUUCACAUUAAAAUUUGCCAGAUUGGUUACGUUGCCUUUGAGACCCUAUGGUAGCCCAAGAAUGAAAAUUACCCCUGUGAUGGCAUACCGUUUACAAUAGUAGACAACCCAAGAUAUUGCAAACGGGGUAUGACCAGUCUUUUUUAGUAGCCACUUAGUCACAAACACUGGCCAAAAUUGGCAUUUUUCAUACACAAACAAAUACUAACGCUAACUUUGGCCAGUGUUUGUGACCAAAUGGUUACUAAAAAAAACUGGAUAUACCCCAUUUGCAAUACCUUGGGUUGUCUACUAUUGCAAAUGAUAUGCCAUUAUGGGUUUAAAUUUCAUUCCUGGGCUACAAUAAAGUCCCAAAGGCAACGUAACCAAUCUGGCGAAUUUCAAUUUGAAAUGUAACGUGCUAUAUUUGACCCUGUAACUUCCCAAAAUGCCAUAAAACCUGUACAUAGGGGGUACUGUUUUACAUGUGAGACUUUGCUGAAUACAAACAUGUAUAUUUUAUUGCAGUAAAAGCAAACAGUAUUAUGACAUUGACCGUUAAAACGUCAUGUAGAACAAAAAAAAAAAAAAUUCUUAUUUUUUUCAUAUUAAAUUAUGUUUCAUAGCUACAUAUUUGAUAUUAAAUGAAAGCCCUGUUUCCCCUGAAUAAAAUGAUAUACAGUGGCAAGAAAAAAGUAUGUGAACCCUUUGGAAUGAUAUGGAUUUCUGCACAAAUUGGUCAUAAAAUGUGAUCUGAUCAUCAUCUAAGUCACAACAAUAGACAAUCACAGUCUGCUUAAACUAAAAACACACAAAGAAUGAAAUGUUGCCAUGUUUCUAUUGAACACACCAUGUAAACAUUCACAGUGCAGAUGGAAAAAGUAUGUGAACCCCUGGAUUUAAUAACUGGUUGAACCUCCUUUGGCAACAAUAACUUCAACCAAACGUUUCCCGUAGUUGCAGAUCAGACAUGCACAAUGGUCAGGAGUAAUUCUUGACCAUUCCUCUUUACAGAACUGUUCCAGUUCAGCAAUAUUCUUGGGAUGUCUGGUGUGAGUCGCUUUCUUGAGGUCAUGCCACAGCAUCUCAAUCGGGUUGAGGUCAGGACUCUGACUGGGGCAUUUCAGAAGGCAUAUUUUCUUCUGUUUAAGCCAUUCUGUUGUUGAUUUUACUUCAAUGCUUUGGGUCAUUGUCCUGUUGCAACAUCCAUCUUUUGGUGAGCUUCAGCUGGUAGACAGAUGGCCUUAAGUUCUCCUGCAACCAACACCUCCAAUCUCAUCUCAUUGAUUGGACUCCAGUUGGCUGACAUCUCACUCCAAUUAGCUCUUGGAGAUGUCAUUAGUCUAGGGGUUCACAUACUUUUUCCACCUGCACUGUGAAUGUUUACAUGGUGUGUUCAAUAAAAACAUGGCAACAUUUCAUUCUUUGUGUGUUAUUGGUUUAAGCAGACUGUGAUGGUCUAUUGUUGUGACUUAGAUGAUGAUCAGAUGACAUUUUAUGACUAAUUUGUGCAGAAAUCCAUAUAAUUCCAAAGGGUUCACAUACUUUUUCUUGCAACUGUAGUUUAGGGAUUACUGGUUUAGUCUGUUUUAGUAUAAAAAAAAAUAAAAAUAAAAAAUUGGUGUUUAGUUAGUCUGUUAGUGUGAAACAUGCAGCGCAUGUACAGCUUGGAGGUGGCAUAUGCCUUCUUGGCAUCAGACUCUGACGCCACUGAUACUGCGUCCGAUUUUGACCCAGGUCAGUUUAGCGACAUGUCUAGUGACAUGUCAUCUGUGUGUGAGCCAGCUGCUAAAAGAAGCUGUGCUUCCCCUGCUACACUGAAUGUGGAGGAGGACUGGGUACCUCCACAGUCAGCUGAGCCCAACAUCCCGCCUUUUAGUGCCAACGCAGGCAUUAAUGUGAAUGUGGAUGACUUCUCCCAUAUACAAUAUAUGGAGUUAUUUUUAGGGGAUACCAUCUGGGAGGAGAUUGUUUCCCAGACUAAUUUAUACGCUAGCCAAUUUACUGAGACCAAUCCAGGUAGCUAUACAGUCAGGGAGCAUGCUUGGCAUCCCAGAGAUGUCCCUGAACUUAAAAUCUGGGCUCUUACAAUGCUCAUGGGGAUAAUAAAGAAGCUAUCAAUCCGCUCUUACUGGAGCACCAACCCAAUUUGUUCGACUCCUAUAUACUCCCAAACAAUGCCUAGACCAAGAUAUGAGCUGCUGCUGAGAUACUUACAUUUCAACGACAAUACCCUCUGUCAUCCCAGAGAUCACCCUCAACAUGAUAGGCUUCAUAAAAUACGCCCACUGGUCGACCAUCUUCAGAACAGAUUUUCUGAAGUUUAUACUUCCCAACAAAAUUUACCUAUUGAUGAAUAGUUAAUGAAAUAUAAAGGGAGAUUAGGAUUCAAACAAUACAUCCCCUCAAUGCACUCUAGGUAUGGCGUAAAAUUCUGCAAACUGUGUGAGAGCGAAAGUGGCUAUAAAUUUGCCUUUCGUGUAUAUGAGGGGAAAGAUGGUCAACUGGACCCUCCUGGCUGUCCUGACUUUCUGGGGACAAGUGGGAAACUUGUUUGGAACCUACUGAUCCCCUUGUUCAAUAAAGGUUACCACCUUUAUGAGGACAAUUUGUAUAGCAUUGUCCGUUUGUUUCAAACUCUUUAUGGUUUGCAGAUACUGGCCUGUGGCACUGUGAGAAGGAAUGUCAAGGAUUUCCCUAGACCUUUUAUAGAGGCCAAAUUAAAAAAAAAAGAAAAAGGUGAAUGUAAAGGUCUGCGCUAAAGUGCUUGCAAUAAAAUUUAAGGACAGGAAGGAUGUUAAUAUACUUACCACCAUCCAUGACGAAAGCAUGUCAGACCUCACUAUCCGAGGCAGAGUACAGACCAAACCUGUUUGCAUCAGGGCUUAUAACAGGCACAUGGGGGUGUUGAUUUGGCUGAUAAGCUGAUGCAGCCAUAUCUUAUCUUAAGAAAGACAAAAGCCUGGUAUAAAAAGGUGGCUAUCUACCUGUUGCAAGUAGCAACACAUAAUUAAUUUUUACUCUUUAAAAAAAUGAAUCCAGAUUAACACCGGAAAACGAAUGGGCUCUUGCACGAGCCACACCUUGUACAUUGCCUACUCCAUACCGUUGCAAAAUAAAGAAUUAUUUAAAAAAAAAAAAAAUGAAUCCAGAAAGAAUCACCUUUCUCCAAUUUCAGUUCAAGCUGAUUUCCACAAAAAUUUAUGGAGAUGGUCAAGUUCCUCUGGCACAUGUUUCAACGGUGCCAGAGGAGUCCAGACAUUUUAUUUUUAAGAUACUGCCAACUGCAAUAAAAAACAUCCCCUGAAACGCUGCCGGGUCUGUUAUAAAAAAGGGAAAAGGACAGACACCCCUUAGCACUGUUUUCUUCUUUUGAAAGCAGCAAUUUUUAGUCCGUUUCCUUCCCCCAAAUCUCCAGUUAGAUUAUUUUUGCAGGAGUUAGUUUAAAGAAUGCUGCUAAAUGUGCACUUGAUACCUGCACAUUUGGUUAAAAAUAUUUUAUGGCGGUAACACAUAACAGGCUGGCCAAAACCAGAUGACGUGUGCAUAAAAAAAAGCAGAAUUCAAAAAUUACCACCAUGCACGUUCUCUGAAAUUUGUUUAGCAAAAUGGUUGGGGGAAGGAUGUGAAAACACCCCAUAAACAAUACCCUGGAAUGUCUACUUUAUAAAAAUAUAAACUUUCAUAAUGUUAACAUUAAAGGACCACUAUAGGCACCCAGACCACUUCAGCUUAAUGAAGUGGUCUGGCUGCCUGGUCCAGGUAGGUUUAACCCUUUUUUUUUAUAAACAUAGUUUCAGAGAAACUGCUAUGUUUACCUAUGGGUUAAUCCAGCCUCUAGUGGCUGUCUCACUGACAGCCGCUAGAGGGCUUCUGCGCUUCUCACUGUGAAAAUCACUGCGACUGGCUGAAUGCGCAAGCAGCUCCUGCCGCGCGUGCACAUUCAGCCGAAGAGGAGGAGAGGAGGAGGUGAGCUCCCCGCCCGGCGCUGGAGAAGGAGGUAAGUUUAACUACUUCUUAACCCCAGAGCCCGGCGGGAGGGGGUCCCUGAGGGUGGGGGCACCCUCAGGGCACUAUAGUGCCAGGAAAACGAGUGUUUUCCUGGCACUAUAGUGGUCCUUUAACUGGGGGAUGCAAAAAUAUGCCAAACUGAAGAUAGGCCAAGCAUACCUAUAUAUCAAGUUGAAAAACUGAUAUGUACAAGUCUCGAUCGUGGCCUUUUAGCCCCCCAAACAACCCAGCAAACCUAUGCAUGGGUGAUAUCACUGUACUCAGGAGAUGUUGCUGAACACAUAUUGGGGUGUUGUUUGGCAGUGAUACAUAACAGGACCUGUUAAUUCAUGCCUAAAGUACAAUGUGUGUGUAAAAAAAAUAAAAAAAUAAAAUAAAAAUUACUACCCAAAAGUUUGCCAAAGGCUGGUGGUAGAACUAGUGCAUGAAAAGUGUUAAAAUACCACCAUUUGAAAUACCCUGGGUUGUCUACUUUUCAAAAAUAUAUGGUUUUAUGGGGGUAAAAUACAUUGGCCCAAAUAGGACAGGGGCGCAGGAUUAGUACAUGUCAAAAUUCCAAGUUGGAAAAUGGAUAUAUGCACCCUCCAAAUAAGGUCUUUUAACCUCCAGAGAACCAGACAAGCCUAUGCAUGGGUGGUAUCGCUGAACACAUAUUGGGGUGUUGUUUGGCAGUGAUACAUAACAGGACCUGUUAAUUCAUGCCUAAAGUACAAUGUGUGUGUGAAAAAAGAUACAAAAACAAUUACUACCUAAAGGUUUGACAAAGUCUGGUGGUAGAAUUAGUGCAUGGAAAAGUGUUAAAAUACCACUAUUUGAAAUACCCUAGGGUGUCUACUUUCCAAAAAAUAUAUGGUUUGGUGGGGAUAAAAUACAUUGGCCGGCCUUACAAAUGUCCCAAAUAGGACAUGUGCACAGGUUGACUACAUGUCAAAAUUCCAAGCUGGAAAAUGAAUAUGCACACCUGCCAAAUGUGGCCUUUUAGCCCCCAAACAACUCGACAAGCCUAUGCAUGGGUGGUAUCACUGUACUCGGGAGAUGUUGCUGAACAUGUGUUAGUGUGUUUUUUGGCAGCAACACAUAAUAGGAUCUGUGAGUUUAUACCUGAAUUGCAAUGUAUGUGAAAGAAAAAAAAAAUCUAUGUGAAGUUUGGCAAAGACUGGUGGUAAAAUGGCUGCAUAGAAAGUGUCAAAAUAUCCUUAGAUGAAUAUCCUGGGUUGUCUACUUUAAGAAAAUAUAUACAUGUGGGGUUUUCUAGAGAUUUAUGACAGACAAUAGUGUUAUAAUGUUACUACUGAUAAAGUUUAAAAGUGUAUGUUUUGAAACCACAAUCUCCUACUUGUACUUAUAGCCCUACAACUUGCAAAAAAAAAACAAACAACAUGUAAACACCGGGUAUUUUUAAACUCAGGACAAAAUUUUGAAUCUAUUUAGCAAGUUUUUUCAUUAGCUUUUGUAGAUGAGUAAAAGUAUUUCAAGUUAAAUUCAAAAAACACAUUUUUUUAAAUUUUGCAUAAUUUUUUUAAUUUUUUUAAAAUUAAAUUACAUGAGAUUAUAUAAAUAAUGGUAUGUAAAGAAAGCCCAUUUUGUCCUGAAAAAAAAACAAUAUAUAAUUUGUAUGGGAACAGUAAAUGAGAGAGCAGAAAAUUACCGCUAAAACACAAACACCACAAAAGUGUAAAAAGAGGCCUGGUCGCAAAUGUACAACAUCGCAAAAACAGUCCGGUCCUUAAGGGGUUAACAAACAAAAAGUUCGCCGUUUUUUCUAUGGGAAAAUAUUAUUUCCUAUAACCUCCCUAAACACACUCAACCUAAUGAAAUGAAACAUAACUCUUUAUUUGGUACACUGAUUAGGACUUACAAAUUAACAAGUUUGUGUCUGGAUCUUCAUCUCACUCAUUCAUUAUUUAUCCGGUCUACCCUAAAUUACAGGUUGACCCAAUCCCAAUAAUACCCUACCCCUCCCCCAUUUCUAACACAACCUAACUUUUACUUUAAUGCAACUGCUGGUGUAGUGUGUGAAAACUAAUCUUCUGAUCUGUAGCCCUAAUAAUAAUUCAUUUUAUUUUUAUUAGGUGGUUUGUCUAAUAAUUAAAUGCCUGGUGUGCACGAACUUCAUGAUUGUUCCUGCUUAUUAUCAAAGUGAACAUUUGGACUUGGCCUUGGUCUCUCUAAUAACAAACUGUUUAUGCAAGGAUAUUUUUGCCAAUUAAUAUUAGUGAGCAUACCAAAGGACAUUAUUUGACAUCCUUAUAGGUGGUAUUAACACAAUUUGAAAAAUGCUGCAUAUCAGCAGUUGAUUUAUUUGCUGCUAUGUUGAAACUAUGAUAAUGAUAUAAUAAUUCAGUAACCAAAAUACAAUUUCUCUAAAUGUUACAGAAUUCGAGCCACAUUACAGUAGUAUCCAUGAAGGUGAAGUAGGUUCAAGAAGAAGAGUAGA